rnacentral:rRNA from 1 species
AGAGCGAACGCUGGCGGCAGGCCUAACACAUGCAAGUCGAGCGCCCGUAGCAAUACGGGAGCGGCAGACGGGAUAGUAACACGUGGGAACGCGCCCCUCGGUUCGGAAUAACUCAGGGAAACUUGAGCUAAUACCGAAUACGCCCCUACGGGGAAAGAUUUAUUGCCGAAGGAACGGCCCGCGUCCGAUUAGCUAGUUGGUGAGGUAAUGGCUCACCAAGGCUACGAUCGGUAGCUGGUCUGAGAGGAUGACCAGCAUCACUGGGACUGAGACACGGCCCAGACUCCUACGGGAGGCAGCAGUGGGGAAUAUUGGACAAUGGGCGCAAGCCUGAUCCAGCCAUGCCGCGUGGAUGAUGAAGGCCCUAGGGUUGUAAAGUCCUUUUAACGGGGAAGAUAAUGACGGUACCCGUAGAAUAAGCCCCGGCUAACUUCGUGCCAGCAGCCGC